ACAAUUUGUAUGAAUACAUGAAAGGGAACAUAGUUGUGUGAGAUUUAAUUAAUUAUUUUGCUUGAUGUUUAGUUGAUGGUUCAUUCAUUAGCAACUAGUCAUGAACCAUUUCUCUACUUCUUCUUCUAGUAUCCUUAUAAAUGUUUUAAUACAUGAAAGGGAACAAUUACAUCUAAUAUGAUAUUCAUUUUUCAUUAUUUUUAGAUGAUUGUAGUGUAAUUGUUUGAUGGCUUUGUAGUGAAAAUGCAAUCUAAUUGUAUAUUUGUAUUGCAUAGUUGGUAUUCCUGUUAAAAUUAUAUAUAUUUUUAGGGCAGUUUAUAGGACUAGUUCUGAAAACUAGAGUAAAUGGGGGUACCAACUAGAAGGUGUUUCUGUGGUUCUGUUUUUGGUGGUGUGCAGUGUAAUGGAGGAAGUGUUUGUUUUUGGGAAAUGAAAUACUACCUGGAUUUAUUACUAAUUUUCUUUUUCUGAAGCUAUGUUUCCUUUGUCACACCACACCAGUGGUGUUGAACAAUUUAUAUUUGAAUUUAAGUUCUUUUGCAUUAUAGUCCAUUCUUUUGAGCAAUUGAUUCCCUUCAACUCUACUGAGAGUUUAAUCUUUCCCUUCUUGUCCUCAAUUGGUGCUGGUUUCUCAUAACUGUAUUCCUCCAUAUGAUUCCUAUAGGAAUUAUUCAAUAUUCACAUCUUUUGCUUUUCCCUUCAUUUUGUAAAUUUUCACCAUGAUUUGGUGUUCAAACUUUCAAUCAAAUUCUCAUGGGCUGUUAUUGAAAUUGUAGUUCUGAAUACUGUCUUAGCUCAUAAAGAGGAAUGUAUGUUGUAGCUUUUAGAAUUAUUUAUGUUCACGACUUUUUGACUAUUUCAAGUCUAUUUUUUGAUAAUUUGAUUGUAAAAAAUACUUAACUAUUGAUUUAUAUCUGGCUUUUGUAGAUCAUAGGAAAAGCAAAUAAAAUUGGGGUGGGACCAAAAGAAGUAAGUGACAGGUACAUCAAUGAGUAUCGUGGUAACAUGAAACAAAUUCAGUGCCUUCCUCCUACAGAAGAGCCAGGGGUAACUGAUCAUAUAGAGCAGAUAAAAAACAUGAUCCAUCAGGUUUGUCUUCACAUUUGCCCUAGGUGCUGGACCAGUCCCUAGUCUCCUCCUAUCAGAAAUAUUCCCUAACCGAAUUAGUGCAAAGGUAAUGGCAAUCUACAUGGCAGUGCACUGGGUCAAAGCUAGGAUUGCGGGUUGCGGUUGACGUUACUUUCUUUUGUUGCCACUAUAUUUUUUGUAUGGCUCAUGAAGAAGUUGCAAGAUAUGAAGAAUUUUUGUUUUAUUUUGGUUAAGUAAAUAUAUAAGGUGUGGAUCAUGUACUUUUUUGAAAUUUGUAUAUGGUUAAUUUUUGUAUAAAACAAUGACUUGAAUUUGGUUAUAUAUAUAUAUAUGAUGUUAUUUGUCAGUUUUAAAUUA